GUUCUCAUCUCGCGGCGUAAAAUAGCACGAGCUUUGAGGGGACUAUCGGCGUACCAUUUUCAGCAAAUAGCCAAAACGGCGGACAUGGGGACGCGCUUCACGAUCAGUCACGUGACCCGAAACUUUUAAAAGACCACACGCGACCAUAAUAACCACCGCUCAUAUCGAUCCUCAUGGGAAACAGCGGGAUCCAGAGAGAAAACCAGAUGCGACCAGCCAGAGGAGAGACGGCACGGCAGAGAGGUCACAGCAGAGCAGGUGGAACAGAACGGAGGGCACGCCAUCGGAUUGUGGUUUCCACACAGUGUACGCAACGCUCUCAAUCCUGAAGCUGGGUCGUGGUUAAGCCACACCCAGGCAACGCAAGUACACUUUUGAAAUAGUUAACAUACUACUAAAAAUUAUGCUGGCUGUGAAGGCUCUUCCCACUGCUGAGACUCUUUCUCUUUCUUUCCACAUCGGAGGCAUCGGCCAGUGCCAGUGAAGUAAGGAGGAGGAACCGACUGCUGGAAGGGACGGUAAUCGGGCUGGAGCAGAAGCAGCAACAGAAGUAGCAGAAGCGCAUCGACUAAGAUGACCCCAUCCCUCCAGCCAACUUCACCAGUUGCUCCUCAUCUCAUCAAGGAGUUGGAGCAAUAGAGCGGUUUUGUCCUAGUCAUAAUGAAUGACAGUAUCAUCCCCAGAUACAACAGAUAAGUAGUAAUUGCUAUAUUUCUACUUCUAAACAUACCAACUGUUUAUAGUCUGAUAAUGAUUAAUAUUCUUCAUCCCAACUGUGCUGCUCAGUGAUGAACUACUGUCCUUUUUUGUUUGUUGCCCCUCCCCCAUUUCUUUUUCAGAUGAAGACUUCAGAAAAAGUGUCACCGGAGAGAAUAUUUGUAGGUCUGAGGAAAAUUGCCUGUUUUCAGGACAAAUUCCAAUUUUUGCUUGAGGCUGGCUUGCUUGCUGAGACUGGUAUUGCUGCUUGUAUAUUGGGAAGCAUCUACUUGGUCCUUGAAGUGAACCUUGCCAAUGUUCAGUGGACCAGUUGUUCUGAGUGGAUAUUGUUUUUGUUGUGAGACAAGUGGUCAGUGAUAUGAGGGGUGGGGAAAUGAUUAUGAGUGUGACAGCAAAAGUUAUUGGGUGCAAUCAGACACAUUUGGAAGUCCAGUAUCCCUCUCACCAAUAUCCAUUUCUUGAUUUGUCGAUUCAGCAUAUGUAGAUUCGUCCUUCUAAAGCUGGUCCCAGACCUACUGUCUUUUUAGCCCAGUUCUGUUAGGAUACCAUGGAACGUCUGUAUCAGUCCGAGGCGUAAUCGCCAGCACUCAUGGUGUUAACCCAUACGAAAAUCGACCAUGGUUUUACUGUAGUAACCAUGGUUUUCUGUAAUAACCAUGGUUUUACCAUGGCAUGUCAUGUUUUCUCUAACUUCAGUAUUGUUCACUAAGAUCAUCCCAAUUACUAAGACAUGCAUGUACCUAUCAGGAGAAGACGCACCAGGAGAGGAGGUGGUCCUUGUGUCCUUGCAGCAGGAGAGGAGACUUGGAAUGAUAUCUUAAUAAAUUGAUUAUUUUCACUUCUA